GACGAACGCUGGCGGCGUGCUUAACACAUGCAAGUCGAGCGGUAAGGCCCUUUCGGGGGUACGACGAGCGGCGAACGGGUGAGUAACACGUGGGUGACCUGCCCUCAGCUCUGGGAUAAGCCUGGGAAACCGGGUCUAAUACCGGAUAUGACUCCAUGACGCAUGUUGUGGGGUGGAAAGCCUUGUGCGGCUGAGGAUGGGCCCGCGGCCUAUCAGCUUGUUGGUGGGGGUGAGGCCUACCAAGGCGACGACGGGUAGCCGGCCUGAGAGGGCGACCGGCCACACUGGGACUGAGACACGGCCCAGACUCCUACGGGAGGCAGCAGUGGGGAAUCUUGCGCAAUGGGCGAAAGCCUGACGCAGCGACGCCGCGUGAGGGAUGACGGCCU
rnacentral:rRNA from 1 species